AGCUUUACACACUCCAUUAUCAGUUAUCUACAAGUUAAGAUAUCUGUAACAUAAACACUGGAGUUUACUGGAAAUUACGCCUCAUUUCAAAUAAAUCGUAGAACGAAUCAGUAAACGCCCAGUUAAUGAUUUUCAUACAAUACUUUUGUAGCGAUAAAAGUGAAACUGAUCGUAACAUGAGACCCCUAGAAAAUGACGAUGUUGAAGACCACGUAGAAAAAAUGUUAAAGAAGACAGGAUGCCUA